ACGUAAAACGUUAACUCGCACACGUGACCGUUGUGUUUAUUUGUGCGAGAUGGACAAUUCAGUCUUGAACUCAUUUACGAAAACGACGCCAUUUUUAAACCCAUUUCUCACUCCGUCUCUAAGCUUGCUACGAUAAUGGAGAAUGAGAAACCCUAGUUCCUUCCUUAAGAUUGCCCCUGUUUCAAUGGCUAAUAGUGGACAACAUUCAACCUAUUCCAACCGCUAUAGAGGGAGGGUCAGCCACAAUAUUGCCGAUAACAAGGGGUUAAUUAAGCAAGGGACAACAUCCGAAGUUCCUUUGUGAGUUAUAUGCAAUUAUCACCAAAUCAAGCAUGGUGGAGAAUCUCAGAAAGUUGUUAUUUGGGUGUCCAAUGUAUAAGGAAAAGAAACCUCACUGCAACUUCUUUACUUGGUUUGACAUGGUCUUUGACAUCAGUCACAAGAAUGAUGCCAUGGAUGAUGUUGUUGAUGUUGAUCAACUGGAUGUUGUGGUUCUUGGAUUCUAAGAGAAAAUGAUGGAUAGCUGCAGAAGAGGGUAGUUGUAUUAGAGAAUUCUCAAAAAAAAAGUAGUAAAUAGAAAUUGAGAAAAUAGAUUCGGCAAUGUGGUUCUCUGUGUUAGUUUGUGUUUUUAAUUUGUUGUGAAUUACUUUUCACAAUGAUAGACUUGUUAUGUUAACUCCAAAUUUAUGAAUGAAUGAGUGAAUAAAAUUUUUGUUGUUGUUUUA